CCUGGUGGCUCAGAUGGUAAAGCGUCUGCCUACAAUGCAGGAGAACCCAGGUUCAAUCCCUGAGUUGGG
rnacentral:tRNA from 1 species